rfam:Citrobacter youngae ATCC 29220 C_sp-1.0.1_Cont3.2, whole genome shotgun sequence.
AAGAUAAAACGUUCAAUAAGGGUAAUCCCCCAUCUGAUAACUGUCUAUUUUCGUCUAUAUCUACGUAUUUUGUCUCCCCAAAACCAGCAGUCUGCUCUUAUUAAAGCCUUAGGUGGAUGUUUUUGCUAUUUUUUUGCCGCAUGAAUAAAGAGUUAGAU